rnacentral:rRNA from 1 species
AUAUCAAUAAGGCGAGGAACAGAAACCAACAGGGAUUCCCCCAGUAGUGGCGAAUGAAGUGGGAAAAGCUCAAGUUUGAAAUCUGAGAUCUCUCAGAGUUGUAAGCUGAAGAGGUACUUGCCGACGCGGUCCGGGCCCAAUUUCCUUGGAACAGGAGGUCAUGGAGGGUGAGAACCCCGUCUGUGGCUCGGGUGCCGUGUCCUGGUGCGGUGUCCUCGAAGAGUCGGGUUGUUUGGGAAUGCAGCUCAAAAUGGGUGGUAAAUUUCAUCUAAGGCUAAAUAUUGGCAAGAGACCGAUAGCAAACAAGUAGAGUGAUCGAAAGAUGAAAAGUACUUUGAAAAGAGAGUGAAACAGUAC